rnacentral:rRNA from 1 species
CAGUAGCCGCGGGAAUACGUAGGGUGCAAGCGUUAAUCGGAAUUACUGGGCGUAAAGCGUGCGCAGGCGGUUAUAUAAGACAGAUGUGAAAUCCCCGGGCUCAACCUGGGAACUGCAUUUGUGACUGUAUAGCUAGAGUACGGCAGAGGGGGAUGGAAUUCCGCGUGUAGCAGUGAAAUGCGUAGAUAUGCGGAGGAACACCGAUGGCGAAGGCAAUCCCCAGGGCCUGUACUGACGCUCAUGCACGAAAGCGUGGGGAGCAAACAGGAUUAGAUACCCCCGUAGUCCCUGUCUCUUAUAC